GUGGCUCACACCUGUCAUCCUAGCUACUCAGGAGGCUGAGAUCUGAGGAUUGUGGUUCAAAGCCAGCCCAGGUAGUAAAGUCCACGAGCCUCUUUAUCUCCAA